rnacentral:rRNA from 1 species
AGAGUUUGAUCAUGGCUCAGAUUGAACGCUGGCGGCAGGCCUAACACAUGCAAGUCGAACGGUAACAGGAAGCAGCUUGCUGCUUCGCUGACGAGUGGCGGACGGGUGAGUAAUGUCUGGGAAACUGCCUGAUGGAGGGGGAUAACUACUGGAAACGGUGGCUAAUACCGCAUAACGUCGCAAGACCAAAGAGGGGGACCUUCGGGCCUCUUGCCAUCAGAUGUGCCCAGAUGGGAUUAGCUUGUUGGUGAGGUAACGGCUCACCAAGGCGACGAUCCCUAGCUGGUCUGAGAGGAUGACCAGCCACACUGGAACUGAGACACGGUCCAGACUCCUACGGGAGGCAGCAGUGGGGAAUAUUGCACAAUGGGCGCAAGCCUGAUGCAGCCAUGCCGCGUGUAUGAAGAAGGCCUUCGGGUUGUAAAGUACUUUCAGCGGGGAGGAAGGUGUUGUGGUUAAUAACCACAGCAAUUGACGUUACCCGCAGAAGAAGCACCGGCUAACUCCGUGCCAGCAGCCGCGGUAAUACGGAGGGUGCAAGCGUUAAUCGGAAUUACUGGGCGUAAAGCGCACGCAGGCGGUCUGUCAAGUCGGAUGUGAAAUCCCCGGGCUCAACCUGGGAACUGCAUUCGAAACUGGCAGGCUUGAGUCUUGUAGAGGGGGGUAGAAUUCCAGGUGUAGCGGUGAAAUGCGUAGAGAUCUGGAGGAAUACCGGUGGCGAAGGCGGCCCCCUGGACAAAGACUGACGCUCAGGUGCGAAAGCGUGGGGAGCAAACAGGAUUAGAUACCCUGGUAGUCCACGCCGUAAACGAUGUCUACUUGGAGGUUGUGCCCUUGAGGCGUGGCUUCCGGAGCUAACGCGUUAAGUAGACCGCCUGGGGAGUACGGCCGCAAGGUUAAAACUCAAAUGAAUUGACGGGGGCCCGCACAAGCGGUGGAGCAUGUGGUUUAAUUCGAUGCAACGCGAAGAACCUUACCUGGUCUUGACAUCCACAGAACUUUCCAGAGAUGGACUGGUGCCUUCGGGAACUGUGAGACAGGUGCUGCAUGGCUGUCGUCAGCUCGUGUUGUGAAAUGUUGGGUUAAGUCCCGCAACGAGCGCAACCCUUAUCCUUUGUUGCCAGCGGUCCGGCCGGGAACUCAAAGGAGACUGCCAGUGAUAAACUGGAGGAAGGUGGGGAUGACGUCAAGUCAUCAUGGCCCUUACGACCAGGGCUACACACGUGCUACAAUGGCGCAUACAAAGAGAAGCGACCUCGCGAGAGCAAGCGGACCUCAUAAAGUGCGUCGUAGUCCGGAUUGGAGUCUGCAACUCGACUCCAUGAAGUCGGAAUCGCUAGUAAUCGUGGAUCAGAAUGCCACGGUGAAUACGUUCCCGGGCCUUGUACACACCGCCCGUCACACCAUGGGAGUGGGUUGCAAAAGAAGUAGGUAGCUUAACCUUCGGGAGGGCGCUUACCACUUUGUGAUUCAUGACUGGGGUGAAGUCGUAACAAGGUAACCGUAGGGGAACCUGCGGUUGGAUCACCU